rnacentral:rRNA from 1 species
GAUGAACGCUGGCGGCGUGCUUAACACAUGCAAGUCGAACGAUGAUGCCCAGCUUGCUGGGUGGAUUAGUGGCGAACGGGUGAGUAACACGUGAGUAACCUGCCCUUGACUCUGGGAUAAGCCUGGGAAACUGGGUCUAAUACCGGAUACGACCAUCUGGCGCAUGUCAUGGUGGUGGAAAGCUUUUGUGGUUUUGGAUGGACUCGCGGCCUAUCAGCUUGUUGGUGGGGUAAUGGCCUACCAAGGCGACGACGGGUAGCCGGCCUGAGAGGGUGACCGGCCACACUGGGACUGAGACACGGCCCAGACUCCUACGGGAGACAGCAGUGGGGAAUAUUGCACAAUGGGCGCAAGCCUGAUGCAGCGACGCCGCGUGAGGGAUGACGGCCUUCGGGUUGUAAACCUCUUUCAGUAGGGAAGAAGCGAAAGUGACGGUACCUGCAGAAGAAGCGCCGGCUAACUACGUG